CCCUACGGGAGGCAGCAGUGAGGAAUAUUGGUCAAUGGGCGGGAGCCUGAACCAGCCAAGCCGCGUGAGGGAAGAAGGUACAGCGUAUCGUAAACCUCUUUUGUCAGGGAACAAAGGCGGGGACUAGUCCCCGGAUGAGGGUACCUGAAGAAAAAGCAUCGGCUAACUCCGUGCCAGCAGCCGCGGUAAUACGGAGGAUGCGAGCGUUAUCCGGAUUUAUUGGGUUUAACGGGUGCGCAGGCGGCCUGUUAAGUCAGCGGUAAAAUUGAGAGGCUCAACCUCUUCGAGCCGUUGCAACUGGUUUU
rnacentral:rRNA from 1 species